CACUAACUGGAGGACCGAACCGACUAAUGUUGAAAAAUUAGCGGAUGACUUGUGGCUGGGGGUGAAAGGCCAAUCAAACCGGGAGAUAGCUGGUUCUCCCCGAAAGCUAUUUAGGUAGCGCCUCGUGAAUUCAUCUCCGGGGGUAGAGCACUGUUUCGGCAAGGGGGUCAUCCCGACUUACCAACCCGAUGCAAACUGCGAAUACCGGAGAAUGUUAUCACGGGAGACACACGGCGGGUGCUAACGUCCGUCGUGAAGAGGGAAACAACCCAGACCGCCAGCUAAGGUCCCAAAGUCAUGGUUAAGUGGGAAACGAUGUGGGAAGGCCCAGACAGCCAGGAUGUUGGCUUAGAAGCAGCCAUCAUUUAAAGAAAGCGUAAUAGC
rnacentral:rRNA from 1 species